rfam:Oceanobacillus picturae, S1, WGS project CCAX01000000 data, contig: 000001
GUUUAAUGAACUUCUGUUAGAAUCGUCCACGUCCUGUGGACAACACAGAAGUCACCACAUCCUGUGAA